UUUUAGGCACUGGAUGGUUGUGAGAUCUGGAAAACCCAGCCGGGUAGAAGGUCAAAAGUGUCAAAAAGGGAGAGGUUAAGGAGCUGGAGUACUUUUUUUUAUUUGGUACAAGAAAAGAGGCACAGGGAAAGAAAAUUGAGAAGAUUGAAAUUUUCUUUUUUGCAUACACAAAGUUAUAGUCCUCUUAGAGGAACUGGAAUGAGAAAAAUAGGAGAUUAGUCAUUAAAUGUUUUUUCUUCUCAUUUUCUUAUUCUUAGAGAUUAUCAUUUGUUUUCUUUUUGCAUUUACAUUCUCUCUCUGGAAAUUAUUAGGGCAAAGGACCAAGAUUGCUGUCAAAUGGCUUGCACAUUUUAGGUAUUACUGUAAAUAAAAGGUGCAUGUAGAGAUGUUUUUCCAUUAUCUAAUAAUUUGUUCUUAUUUGAAAGCGGAAUAGUAAAAGCUUGGAUAUUUAUU
rnacentral:lncRNA from 1 species